AUACGUAGGUGGCAAGCGUUGUCCGGAAUUAUUGGGCGUAAAGCGCAUGUAGGCGGUUUGGUAAGUCGGUCGUGAAAAUGCGGUGCUUAACGCCGUAUGGCGAUUGAAACUGCUGAACUUGAGUGCAGGAGAGGAAAGGGGAACUCCCAGUGUAGCGGUGAAAUGCGUAGAUAUUGGGAAGAACACCGGUGGCGAAGGCGCAUUUCUGGACUGUGUCUGACGCUCAGAUGCGAAAGCCGGGGUAGCGAACGGGAUUAGAUCCCCCGAUAUUCCUGGCCGUAAACGAUGGUUACUAGGUGUGGGAGGUAUCGACUCCUUCCGUGCCUGAGUUAACGCAAUAAGUACCCCGCCUGGGGAGUACGGCCGCAAGGCUUAAACUCAAAUGAAUUGACGGGG
rnacentral:rRNA from 1 species